ensembl:lincRNA
AAAUUCCAGGCAGCACCAACAAAAACACUGCAGGCUUGGGAGGGAGAAGCAUGGCCACCUGGGGUGGUCACCAGACAGGGGGUCACCAGCUCCAGAUACAGUCAGGAUACAUGGCACUAUUGGAGUCCAAGUAACUCUUGAAGUCCUGAGGCGUUGCUCGUGGGCCUGGCUUCCGUCUUAGCAACAUCUCUGCUCCUCCUUCCCUUGCCCCUUCCAUGUCGAGGGACUCAUUUGCUUACAGCUUUCCUGAUAGUGCUUCUUAGCAGCUGCCAGUAGAGCCGACCACAGCUCUUGGAGGUCUGACCUGAGGUUAAAACUAGACCGAAGAUCAUCUGACUCCAGCAGAAGGAUUUGGUGGCCUACGGUGGCACAGUUCAAGGCCUCAGAGCCGAGUCUUAGAAGGAGGCAUAGGAGAAGCCGCUUGCUUGUCCUGGCCAACAGCCCCAGCUUCUGUUGGGACACUAAGACUCAGAGACCACCCACCGUGUUCGGUGUGACAAGUGCCACUCAGAAAUCAUGGAGACCGCGGUGAUUGGGAUGGUGGCAGUGCUUUUUGUCAUCACCAUGGCCAUUACCUGCAUCCUCUGCUACUUCAGCUAUGACUCACACACCCAAGACCCAGAGCGCAGCUCCAGACGUAGCUUCACCGUGGCCACGUUUCACCAGGAGGCGUCGCUCUUCACGGGGCCGGCUCUCCAAUCCCGGCCACUGCCGAGGCCCCAGAACUUCUGGACUGUUGUGUGAGGUUGGCAAUUCCCUCGACAUUUAUUCUGCUAGUGGGUCAGACCCAUCUGCCCCUUCAAUAAGCAGUGUCUGGUGUCUCACUCCUCCCAGCUCUCCAUCCGUAUCCUUCUACGUUUCACAAACUUCUUGCCUCCCUCCAUUCUGGCUCGCUCUUCCCUCUCUCCCUGGGGAGCUGAGGUGUCAGGACCAGGUGUGAGUUACCUCUGAGCUGAACGAUCAGCUAGGCUCUACUCACAAUGGGGCUGAGGAGUCUGAGGAGAUGUGGAAGGAUGCUGUGUGGUAUCCUAAUGGUGGGGUAGCUCCAGACAGCUAUGGAACCUCACCGGAAGUUAGCACCCUGUCAGCGGGGUGCUGUGACGGAAGUCUAUUUGCCACCCAGGGAACCAGAGCCCUCGAGCGGACGAUUUGAAGAACUAAGUGUUUGUUAGUAUUUUUGGAUGCUGCACGGUGCCCAACCCUCAGGCUUGCUCCUGUUGCCUGAAAUCAGCCCUGAAAUUCUGAAAACAAAGAGCUGUUUUCUGGGAACAAGUGACUUAUUUUAUAAUUGAGGACGUAUAUCCUUUUAUGGAUCUUUCCAAAUCUGCUCUGGAAAACCACAAAAGGAAGCAGGAGAGAAAAAGAGAGCCACAGAGAGCACAAGGUGUUUCAUUAACAGGAAGGCCACCAAGAAGACUUUAAAACACGUUUUGAACAAGACUUGCUUUAUUGCUAUAGUCCGACAGACUGUGUCUAUUCUUAGCAAAUGUGAGUGAUUUGCGUCACUUAGGAAUGAUAGAAAAAUCGUGAACUGAAAGAUAAUUCCAAAAAAGUCAAAAUGUUGUUACAUUUCAGCGCAUGUGGAGCUGUUGAUUUUAACACAAAUAAAGGGACAUUUGUUUUUAUUAAUAGAAAAUCUGCUCACGGAACAGAUGCUAUCUUGUAUUUAGAGACUAUGAUCUGAAGGAUGAAAAAUUAUCUUCGUGGCUUGUAUGUCUGAAUCUGACCUUGAAUGGGUAACUCUCUCAGGACCUGCCUGUUGAGGGGGAUGAGACUGAACCAGGGUCCUCUGGGAUGUCAGAGUGUCCCCAGACAUGUGGCUGCCACAGGAAGGAUCCAGAGAGACAGGCUUGGGUCUGGAGAGAUUUGGGGGUGGGGUUGGCAGGGAAGAAGUGCAGGAAGGAAGUCAGAGUGCUAGAUGGGGGUGGAGUGAAUCUGGGGAGGUCGAGGCUCAGGAGCUUCUGGAAACAUGUCCUUAUCAGUCUGGACACUGAGUCCCUGACUAAGGCUUUUACAGACAGGCCACAGGGAGGGCAGGGAGUCCUGGGGACUCAGUGAAGGACUCACAGCAGGUUCCAGGGAGAGCCAGUGUGGGUCUGAGGCCAGUAGGGAUGGGCACCUGAGUGGGGAGAAAGAAGCAUUGUCUAGGGGUAGCAGCCAGACCGAGGUAGAGCCCUCACUGCAGCUCCCCCUGAGGGCUGGAUCGCCAGGCUUUGUCUCCCCCUCAGGCAGAGCUCUGCUCUGGGGCAGGCUCUGAAGAUCUUUCUUGAAAGGAAUCUUGCCAUCUCCACAGGCACUGAACGGAACCUUCUUCCCAGCAUCAGCUAGACUGCUUGAAGGUGGGUGAGUCCCCAGAGCACAAGGGUGUGUGUGUGUGUGUGUGUGUGUGUGUGUGUGUGUGUGUAUGCACGGAAUCCUUCCCAAGUUGCUUUUGGUCAUGUGUUUUUGUCACACCAAUAGAUACCCUAAGUAUGCCAUGAUCUAUCCAUUUACUCACUCACCCACAUAACCAUGCCUUCCCUUACCCUGUAUUCAUUCAUUCCAUUAUUCGGUCACUUGUCCUCCAUUUGGUGAGCAUAGACAGAGCUCUGCUGUGUACCUGCUCCUGCUCAGAGAAGGUGAGAGUCAGUCAGACCUGGUCCCAGCGCUCAGGGAACACCUGACAGAACAGAAGCGACAUGCUUUGGGUGUUGGAGUGGGGUGGGGAUAGGGAGAGAGCUGGGAGCCCAGGGAGAUUUGAGAGGAAGAGGAGGAGGAGGAGGAGGAGGAGGAGGCCCCUGAACUGGAAUGGAAGCAGAGAAGAGUCUUUGAUGAGACGAUCCAAGAAGGUGUUGGUAUAGAGAGCCUGUGGAGCAGGGAGAACAGCAGCUUGGCCUGGCCUGGAGGAGAUGAGGCUGGACACUGGUCAUCUCCCAAGGGAAUCAUGUUCCCAGGCAGUGGAUGCUAAAUAUAGUACCAAGGCGGCCUUGGUCCAGGGACAAAAGAGCACAUGGCUACCUGCUGCUGAUGCAGUGGGAAGGUGGGUCUGACUGAGGGCAGGGUAUGGGCCCCAGGCCCUCAGGACUGUGGAGGUGGGUCUGAGGGCAGGGAGAUGCAGCCUAGAAGAGUAGGACUUCUAAAACGGAAGGUGGUCCUCCCUGGGGCAAUCUAGCAAAGGGCUGAGAGGUAUAGUUAGAACAGGAGCAGAUCUGGGGGAACACAGACUAGAGACUCUGGGGAGUAGAGUCUCUAAAAACAUAAGAACGCCAGAUAAGCUGGGAUUUCAAGUAAGUGAUGAGUAAUUUCUAGUUUGAAUGUAUUUCAUAAAAUAGUUGGAACACACACUAAAACGUUCAUUAUCUAUGUAAGAUCAAGUGUUAUAGGGCAUCUUGUAUUUUACCUGGUAGCUCUAUGGGGACAGGGGAGUCUGAGAGGCUGGGUAACUGGUUAAAGACAGCAGAGGGUUGUCAGAGGAGCGUAGAGAGAACUUUGCAACAUAAGGGUUGACAGUGACAUUGGUGACAACAGUGGACAGCCACUUUGCAGGCUAUGAUGUGUGUGCAUGUGUGUGUAUGGUGUGUUGGAUGUGUCUGAUGUGCAGUAUGUAUAUGUUUCAUGAUACGUGGUAUGUGUAAUGUGUACAAUGCUGUGUAGUAUAUGUGGUGUCUUGGGGUUCCUAUUGCUGUGAUAAAACACCGUGACCAAAGCAACUUGGGCAGGAAAGGGUUUGUUUGGCUUAUGCUCCCCACAUCAUAAAAGGAAGUCAAGACAGGAACUCAGACAGGGCCGGGACUGGGGACAGCAGCUGAUGCAAAGGUCACAGAGGAAUGCUGCUUACUGACUUAUUCUUCAUGGCUUACUCGGCCUGCUUCCUUAUAGAACCCAGGGCCACCAGCCCAGAAACGGCUCCACUCACAACAGGCUGGGCCCUCCCACAUCCAUCACUAAUUUAAAAAAUGUUCUACAGGCUUGCCCGAAGCCCAACUCUUUUUUUUUUUUUAAACUUUUUAUUGAUUCUUUGAAAACUUUACACAGUGGGCUCCAGUUCCACUCAUACCCCUGUCUCUCUGUAUCUGCCCUCUGCCCUUGCAACCUCCCCCACCGAAAAAAUGAAAGG